UAUGCAUGGUUUAUUCCUCUGGCUUGGA
rnacentral:piRNA from 1 species